rnacentral:misc_RNA from 1 species
AAGUCGUAACAAGGUUUCCGUAGGUGAACCUGCGGAAGGAUCAUUGACACACAAUGUUCUCACACACAACCUGAUUCGUUGGUUAUUGCGGUGCGGAAACGCCCCGCAACAACAACAUUCUACAAACCUGUCUUCGAGCGUCUCCCCUCCGCGCCUCAAAAACGCGAGCGGCCCGCCGGAGUACAACCCAACAACAACAACAAAAAAACCACAAUAUAACCCUAAAAUAUUCAACGAUGGAUAUCUUGGUUCCCAUACCGAUGAAGAACGCAGC